rnacentral:rRNA from 1 species
GAUGAACGCUGGCGGCGUGCCUAAUACAUGCAAGUCGAGCGAACAGAUGAGGAGCUUGCUCCUCUGACGUUAGUGGCGGACGGGUGAGUAACACGUGGAUAACCUACCUAUAAGACUGGGAUAACUUCGGGAAACCGGAGCUAAUACCGGAUAAUAUAUUGAACCGCAUGGUUCAAUAGUGAAAGACGGUUUUGCUGUCACUUAUAGAUGGAUCCGCGCCGCAUUAGCUAGUUGGUAAGGUAACGGCUUACCAAGGCAACGAUGCGUAGCCGACCUGAGAGGGUGAUCGGCCACACUGGAACUGAGACACGGUCCAGACUCCUACGGGAGGCAGCAGUAGGGAAUCUUCCGCAAUGGGCGAAAGCCUGACGGAGCAACGCCGCGUGAGUGAUGAAGGUCUUCGGAUCGUAAAACUCUGUUAUUAGGGAAGAACAAAUGUGUAAGUAACUAUGCACGUCUUGACGGUACCUAAUCAGAAAACCACGGCUAACUACGU